CCUACGGGAGGCAGCAGUGAGGAAUAUUGGUCAAUGGACGAGAGUCUGAACCAGCCAAGUAGCGUGAAGGAUGACUGCCCUAUGGGUUGUAAACUUCUUUUAUAUGGGAAUAAAACGUUCCACGUGUGGGAUUUUGUAUGUACCAUAUGAAUAAGGAUCGGCUAACUCCGUGCCAGCAGCCGCGGUAAUACGGAGGAUCCGAGCGUUAUCCGGAUUUAUUGGGUUUAAAGGGAGCGUAGGUGGAUUGUUAAGUCAGUUGUGAAAGUUUGCGGCUCAACCGUAAAAUUGCAGUUGAAACUGGCAGUCUUGAGUACAGUAGAGGUGGGCGGAAUUCGUGGUGUAGCGGUGAAAUGCUUAGAUAUCACGAAGAACUCCGAGUGCGAAGGCAGUUCACUGGACUGCAACUGACACUGAGGCUCGAAAGUGUGGGUAUCAAACAGGAUUAGAUACCCGAGUAGUC
rnacentral:rRNA from 1 species